AUGCUCUUAGCAGCGCCCCCCUCCACUUUGGCACAUCGAUUCCUCCGUGUAACCCUUGGCUCCUCCAUCUCCGCGGCGCCGCGAGCUCUCCGCUGUCCGGCAAGCUGCCGGCGUGUCAGCGGAGGCGACCGCCGCUGCCCGUUCAUCCUCAACUGGUGGUUUCCGCAGCUCCAUCAGCGCGCGAGAACCUGGAGAAGAGGGGCAGAUAUGACACAUCUGUCCAAUUUUUUAACCGGGGCUGGUGGUGGUGGAGCGCUGAUGGGGCAGCUGAACCCAACCAAUUCAGCGAGCCGAUCACGAGCGGUAAAAAAUUAUAUACCUCAACAAGGCCCAGGUAUAUGUCUUGAAAAGAAAUGCCAUGUGCAUUCAGAUUUUCCGACAAAGGUUUCCACUGAAACGUGCAGGCACGCAUUGCAGCUGCACACAUCCCCACCAGGUCUGAACUCUGAAGGCAGAGAAAUGUUGUUUAAUCUUGUUGAUUUCUUUUUUCGAGAGUACCAUAGCUUUAUAGAGUACGCCUAG
rnacentral:rRNA from 1 species